CAGUUGGAGGGCCCUUGCGGCCUGACAGCGUACCUUUUGUAUAAUGGGUCAUCGACUUAGUGUAUCUAGCAAGCUUAAGCCGUUAGGUGUAGGCGCAGCGAAAGCGAGUCUUAAUAGGGCGAUUGAGUUAGAUGCAUUAGACCCGAAACCGAGUGAUCUAGGCAUGACCAGGUUGAAGGUUGGGUAACACCAACUGGAGGACCGAACCCACAUCUGUUGAAAAAGAUCGGGAUGAGUUGUGCCUAGGGGUGAAAGGCCAAUCAAACUCGGAGAUAGCUGGUUCUCCGCGAAAUCUAUUUAGGUAGAGCGUCAUCCGAAUACCCCGGGGGGUAGAGCACUGGAUGGGUAAUGGGGCCCCACAGGCUUACUGAUCCUAACCAAACUCCGAAUACCCGGGAGUAAUAGAUGGCAGACACACUGCGGGUGCUAACGCCCGUAGUGAAAAGGGAAACAACCCUGACCGACAGUUAAGGCCCCUAAUUCAUGGCUAAGUGGGAAAGCAGGUGGGACGACCAAAACAACCAGGAGGUUGGCUUAGAAGCAGCCAUCCUUUAAAGAAAGCGUAACAGCUCACUGGUCUAAUUAAGUUGUCCUGCGGCGAAGAUGUAACGGGGCUCAAGCCAUGAGCCGAAACUUCGGAUGCAUUUAAUGCAUGGUAGCGGAGCGUAGUGUGACAUAGUUCCAUGCGUCCUUCGUUUUAUAGCGGACUGCCCAGGCUUUCGAGCCUGUGUGGAGGCGCGUAAAAUACUGGACGCAAGGAGCUUUCUGUGAAGCCGGCCUGUGAGGGAUCCGGUGGAGAGAUCACUAGUGAGAAUGAUGACAUGAGUAACGACAAAGGGGGUGAGAGACCCCCUCGCCGAAAAUCCAAGGGUUCCUGCUUAAAGCUAAUCUGAGCAGGGUAAGCCGGCCCCUAAGCCGAGGGCGAAAGCCGUAGGCGAUGGGAACCAGGUUAAUAUUCCUGGGCCAGGAGGAAGUGACGGAUCACAAAGAUUGUUGGAUCAGGCGUAGUUGCCCCAGCAGUUCAGUGGUUCCUGGAAAUAGCCCUCCAUCAGACCGUACCCUAAACCGACACAGGUGGAUAGGUAGAGUAUACCAAGGCGCUUGAGAGAACUAUGUUGAAGGAACUCGGCAAAAUACCUCCGUAAGUUCGCGAGAAGGAGGCCCGGUUUCUAGGCAACUGGAAGCUGGGGGCACAAACCAGGGGGUGGCGACUGUUUACUAAAAACACAGGGCUCUGCGAAGUCGCAAGACGACGUAUAGGGUCUGACGCCUGCCCGGUGCCUGAAGGUUAAAAGGAGGGGUGAGAGCUCCGAAUUGAAGCCCAGGUAAACGGCGGCCGUAACUAUAACGGUCCUAAGGUAGCGAAAUUCCUUGUCGGGUAAGUUCCGACCUGCACGAAUGG
rnacentral:rRNA from 1 species